rnacentral:tRNA from 1 species
GGGCGAGUGGCGGAAUUGGUAUACGCGCGUGGCUUAGGACCACGUCCCGCAAGGGUUGGAGGUUCGAGUCCUCUCUCGCCUA